rnacentral:sRNA from 1 species
GAGACUUCCCUCUAGAAUCCUCCAACAUGGAGCCUCUUGCAGCUUACCCGCUAAAAUGUUCCGGGCCCAGAGCAAAGCUUUUAUGCCUUUGAAGUGAAGGAUGCAAAAGGAAGAACCGUUUCUCUGGAAAAGUAUAAAGGCAAAGGCUGAAGGAACUGCACAAAGAGUUUGGACCAUCCCACUUCAGCGUGUUGGCUUUUCCCUGCAAUCAGUUUGGAGAAUCGGAGCCCCGCCCAAGCAAGGAAGUAGAAUCUUUUGCAAGAAAAAACUACGGAGUAACAUUCCCCAUCUUCCACAAGAUUAAGAUUCUAGGAUCUGAAGGAGAACCUGCAUUUAGAUUUCUUGUUGAUUCUUCAAAGAAGGAACCAAGGUGGAAUUUUUGGAAGUAUCUUGUCAACCCUGAGGGUCAAGUUGUGAAGUUCUGG